rnacentral:lncRNA from 1 species
AUUCAAAAGCUUAAAACUUAGCAUCUGACUAUAAACACCAUGCCACAAAGAAGCUUGGGAUGAAGGAUCACGAGGCGAGAGGAGUCCAGCACCCAGCACACCCACUGGGAGCUACAUGCAUGAGACCCCACCCAAUCAGCAGAACCAUACAGCCAACAGAAUCAUGAGAAAUAAGAAGUUGUUGUUGUUCUAAGCCACUAAGCUUUGGAGUGGCUUGUUACACAUCAAUAGGUAUCCAUGCUUGCAACUACUACAAUCAUCUAAAGUUGAGAGAGGCCGGGCCCGAUGGCUCACUCCUGUAAUCCCAGCACUUUGAGAGGCUUAGGCGGGCAGAUCACUUGAGGUCAGGAGUUCGAGACCAGCCAACAUGAUGAAACCCUG